CAUCGUGAGGUGGAAUCUGAAGGAAGCCGGAUGUGGAGGCUGCGAAGUGCCGACACAGGCAACUCUCGGUCUGACGAACAGAAAUCGCAUAUGAGGCAAUGCAAAGCGGACGAGUCUGCCUAACAAGACAAAGUCCAAUACUGCCCGAACUUUGCACUGUAAAUGCGGCAGAUAUAUGGGAGGAAGGUUAUU
rnacentral:ncRNA from 1 species